CGCGUAGGCGGCUUGGCAAGUCAGAUGUGAAAUCCCGGGGCUUAACUCCGGACGUGCAUUUGAAACUGCUAGGCUUGAGUAUCAGAGGGGAAGGUGGAAUUCCCGGUGUAGAGGUGAAAUUCGUAGAUAUCGGGAGGAAUACCGGUGGCGAAGGCGACUUUCUGGCUGAAUACUGACGCUGAGGCGCGAAAGCGUGGGGAGCAAACA
rnacentral:rRNA from 1 species